UACGUAGGGGGCUAGCGUUGUCCGGAAUCAUUGGGCGUAAAGAGCGCGUAGGCGGCCCGGUAAGUCCGCUGUAAAAGUCCAGGGCUCAACCCUGGAAAGCCGGUGGAUACUGUCGGGCUCGAGUCCGGAAGAGGCGAGUGGAAUUCCUGGUGUAGCGGUGGAAUGCGCAGACAUCAGGAGGAACACCGGUGGCGAAGGCGGGUCUCUGGGCAGUAACUGACGCUGAGGAGCGAAAGCGUGGGGAGCGAACAGG
rnacentral:rRNA from 1 species